UGGGGAAUUUUGGACAAUGGGGGAAACCCUGAUCCAGCCAUCCCGCGUGUGCGAUGAAGGCCUUCGGGUUGUAAAGCACUUUUGGCAGGAAAGAAACGUCAUGGGUUAAUACCCCGUGAAACUGACGGUACCUGCAGAAUAAGCACCGGCUAACUACGUGCCAGCAGCCGCGGUGAUACGUAGGGUGCAAGCGUUAAUCGGAAUUACUGGGCGUAAAGCGUGCGCAGGCGGUUCGGAAAGAAAGAUGUGAAAUCCCAGAGCUCAACUUUGGAACUGCAUUUUUAACUACCGGGCUAGAGUGUGUCAGAGGGAGGUGGAAUUCCGCGUGUAGCAGUGAAAUGCGUAGAUAUGCGGAGGAACACCGAUGGCGAAGGCAGCCUCCUGGGAUAACACUGACGCUCAUGCACGAAAGCGUGGGGAGCAAACAGG
rnacentral:rRNA from 1 species